ensembl:misc_RNA Gm27741 predicted gene, 27741
CUUACCACACGCCAAGGAAGCAGGCACAGACUCCAACCCAGACCUAUGGAUUAAAACGCAGAGAGAAGGGGAAAGAAUGGGGGGGGUGGGACGCUUCGGGGAGCAGCACCUCGGCGAGGCCCCAGAGAGCUAACAGCCGCUGCCUUGGAGGGCGAGGUUAGCUGAAGAUUCCUAGAAGAAGAAUCUACUCUGGGACAUUUCUAUUUUUAAUUUUUACUCGAUUCCUAAAACACCAAAGU